UACGAAGGGGGCUAGCGUUGUUCGGAAUCACUGGGCGUAAAGCGCACGCAGGCGGAUUGAUAAGUCAGGGGUGAAAUCCCGGAGCUCAACUUCGGAAUUGCCUUUGAUACUGUCUGUCUUCGAGUUCGGGAGAGGUUGGCGGAAUUCCUAGUGUAGAGGUGAAAUCCGUAGAUAUUAGGAAGAACACCAGUGGCGAAGGCGGCCAACUGGCCCGAUACUGACGCUGAGACGCGAAAGCGUGGGGAGCAAACAGG
rnacentral:rRNA from 1 species